GACCGCUCCGGUGGCCUAGUGGUUAGAGCGCCCGCCUCGGAUGCGGGAGGUCGUAGGUUUUUUCCCUGGCUGAGUCA